GACGAACGCUGGCGGCGUGCUUAACACAUGCAAGUCGAACGGAAAGGCCCUGCUUUUGUGGGGUGCUCGAGUGGCGAACGGGUGAGUAACACGUGAGUAACCUGCCCUUGACUUUGGGAUAACUUCAGGAAACUGGGGCUAAUACCGGAUAGGAGCUCCUGCUGCAUGGUGGGGGUUGGAAAGUUUCGGCGGUUGGGGAUGGACUCGCGGCUUAUCAGCCUGUUGGUGGGGUAGUGGCUUACCAAGGCUUUGACGGGUAGCCGGCCUGAGAGGGUGACCGGCCACAUUGGGACCGAGAUACGGCCCAGACUCCUACGGGAGGCAGCAGUGGGGAAUAUUGCACAAUGGGCGGAAGCCUGAUGCAGCAACGCCGCGUGCGGGAUGACGGCCUUCGGGUUGUAAACCGCUUUCGCCUGUGACGAAGCGUGAGUGACGGUAAUGGGUAAAGAAGCACCGGCUAACUACGUG
rnacentral:rRNA from 1 species